AUGUUUAAUCAAUCUGGAGGACGAGUAAAACAGUUUGAAGCUCGUUGGCUCAAAGAAGAGACAGUCCUAGAAAUAGAGGGUCAUUACUCCGAGAAGGGGGCACCUUCUGUCAAGGUUUCUGAUCUCAUUGAUCCAAUCACGAAUUCUUGGGAUGAAGAUUUGGUGAAUCAAACGUUGUGGCCAAUUGAUGCUCAAAGGGUGCUCGCAAUUCCCCUCCCAAUGCAUAAUAUGUCGGAUUUCAUUGCUUGGAGUUAUACAAAAAAUGGUGUUUUCACUGUAUGGUCAGCUUAUUUGGAGGAAUGGAACAAGCAACAUGGAACAAAAUUGCAACAUGCUGAUGGCAUGGGAAGAAUCAAGGCUAAUCCUAUUUGGGGUAAGGCACAUGAAAGUAUCGCCCAAUUGCCCAUCAUGCUCGAAGGAGGCUGUCAAAAGGCAAAAAAGAUAUGGGGCAAGUUAGGAUUACAUGAGAUGAUCAAUAAAACUUGUGCUACUGAUCGUGCGGGAGAGACGUUUUUGGAAUUCUUACUACUUAUGCCAGAACAAGAAUUAGCGAUAAUGGAUUCUUCAAAAGCACGUGAACCGAUCAGUGUUACAGCCUGGUACUUAUGGUGGGAUAGACGCAAACUGGUUCAUGAAGGAAAAUUUCAAGAUGCAAACCAAAUUUCCAUGGGUGCCCGGGCUAUAAUAGCUAACUAUGUUAAUGCACACUCCCCUAAGGCAACUACUAAAUCAGGAGGAUCGGGAGGAUGGGCAAGACCUCCUAUGGGUUUUGUUAACCUUAAUGUUGAUACCUCUUAUGACCAUGAUUUACUUAGGGGCACAACUGGAGCUGUUCUCAGAGAUGAUAAUGGAAGAUCAUUGUUGCCAACGGAUCAGAUGCACGCACAGGCUUCACCGAACGGAUCACAGGAGGACAUCGAACGGCUGCCGUUGCACCAUCAGCAAGCCGUCCACUCCGGAGCACAGCUCGCCAGUCGCCGCCACUACGCCUCCGUCCCCCGAUCAGCCAUGGCGGGUGAAACCCUCGCGGCCUCCCCCGCCUCGUCACCAAAACCCUAA
rnacentral:rRNA from 1 species